rnacentral:rRNA from 2 species
GCUGGCGGCGGCCUACACAUGCAAGUCGAGCGGUAACAGGAGAAGCUUGGUUCUCGCUGACAAGCGGCGGACGGGUGAGUAAUGUAUGGGGAUCUGCCCGAUAGAGGGGGAUAACUACUGGGAACGGUGGCUAAUACCGCAUAAUCUCUUAGGAGCAAAGCAGGGGAACUUCUGUCCUUGCGCUAUCGGAUGAACCCCUAUGGGAUUAGCUAGAAGGUGGGGUAAAGGGGCUCCUGGGCGACGAUCCCUAGCUGGGGUGACAAGAUGAACCCCCCCACUGGGACUGAGACACGGCCCUGACUCCCCCGGGAGGCAGAGAUGGGGAAUAUUGCACAAUGGGCGCAAUCCUGAUGCAUGCAUGCCGCUCGUAUGAAGAAAGCCCUCGGGUUUUAAAAAACUUUUCGGAUCGAGGAAGGCGUUUAUGCUAAUAUCACCAGGACUUGACUAUCUGAACGUCCCCUGACCGUAUUAAAUCCGUGCGCCCCGGCGCGGUACUUGCGAGGGUGCGCGCUUUUAUCUAAGUUACUGGGCGUGUACCGCAUUUAUUGCGCGUGAAUAAAUCACAUGUGAAAUCCCCGGGCUGACCUGGGGAAUGCCGUCUCAAACGGGGAGGGUAAAGUGCUUGUUGAGAGAGUUGAAUUCCAUGAAGGGAGGAAUU